rnacentral:rRNA from 1 species
GACAGGGCGCAGCUGAUCCAGCCAUUCCGCGUGCAGGACGAAGGCCUUCGGGUUGUAAACUGCUUUUGUACAGAACGAAACAGUCUCUACUAAUACUAGGGGCGAAUGACGGUACUGUAAGAAUAAGCACCGGCUAACUACGUGCCAGCAGCCGCGGUAAUACGUAGGGUGCAAGCGUUAAUCGGAAUUACUGGGCGUAAAGCGUGCGCAGGCGGUUAUAUAGGACAGAUGUGAAAUCCCCGGGCUCAACCUGGGAACUGCAUUUGUGACUGUAUAGCUAGAGUACGGCAGAGGGGGAUGGAAUUCCGCGUGUAGCAGUGAAAUGCGUAGAUAUGCGGAGGAACACCGAUGGCGAAGGCAAUCCCCUGGGCCUGUACUGACGCUCAUGCACGAAAGCGUGGGGAGCAAACAGGAUUAGAUACCCUGGUAGUCCACGCCCUAAACGAUGUCAACUGGUUGUUGGGUCUUCACUGACUCAGUAACGAAGCUAACGCGUGAAGUUGACCGCCUGGGGAGUACGGCCGCAAGGUUGAAACUCANC